UGAUUAAGUUUGCCAUGAUUGGCUUAAGUGUGUGCAAGUGCGCAAUCGCAAAAAGUGUCCCGCGCAGUUCGCGCUUUACUUUCAAUAUGGCAGCAUGUACGAAUACGGUAGUCAUACAUGCUUGAAUGUCGUCUCGAAAGUAAGAACAGUGUAAAGAUUUUGAAACCAGACACACCACGGAAGAAUCACGUGAAAGCUGCGUGGCUAUAACAAAGGACAUACCGGCACCGGCGACAUAAGAUAUACACCUCGUGCCUCAUUCUUCUUAUGUUUGUGAUAAGUUUUCCAUAUAUACAGUAUCAUUGCUCGUGAUAAGGAUAUACAACGGCGUGCACACAAGGUCUUACGUAACACACGACUGCAUAUAAAUACAGAUAUUUGGUGAACACACCUCAUUUUACCACUUCAUAAUUUUCAUAUUUGAUAAGCUUCCUAUAUACAAUCUCACUGAUAAAGGAGAAUAUAACAUAAGCAAUAAAGGCGACGUAUAAGGCAUAUCCAAUAAUCUAUCUUCGUACAUAUAAUCGCAAUUUAGCUUUUCUGUUUCUUUAUAAGAUUAUAUCAUGUCCAAGUCAAAAUUACGACUAGACAUUACUUCUUUAACGCCAAGGCAGCGGCGACGUA